AGAGACCGGCGCACGGGUGCGUAACGCGUAUGCAAUCUACCUUUCACAGAGGGAUAGCCCAGAGAAAUUUGGAUUAAUACCUCAUAGUAUAGCAGUUUCGCAUGAAACCACUAUUAAAGUCACAACGGUGAAAGAUGAGCAUGCGUCCCAUUAGCUAGUUGGUAAGGUAACGGCUUACCAAGGCUACGAUGGGUAGGGGUCCUGAGAGGGAGAUCCCCCACACUGGUACUGAGACACGGACCAGACUCCUACGGGAGGCAGCAGUGAGGAAUAUUGGACAAUGGGCGCAAGCCUGAUCCAGCCAUGCCGCGUGCAGGAUGACGGUCCUAUGGAUUGUAAACUGCUUUUGCACAGGAAGAAACAACGCUACGUGUAGCGUCUUGACGGUACUGUGAGAAUAAGGAUCGGCUAACUCCGUGCCAGCAGCCGCGGUAAUACGGAGGAUCCAAGCGUUAUCCGGAAUCAUUGGGUUUAAAGGGUCCGUAGGCGGUUUAGUAAGUCAGUGGUGAAAGCCCAUCGCUCAACGGUGGAACGGCCAUUGAUACUGCUAGACUUGAAUUAUUAGGAAGUAACUAGAAUAUGUAGUGUAGCGGUGAAAUGCUUAGAGAUUACAUGGAAUACCAAUUGCGAAGGCAGGUUACUACUAAUGGAUUGACGCUGAUGGACGAAAGCGUGGGUAGCGAACAGGAUUAGAUACCCUGGUAGUCCACGCCGUAAACGAUGGAUACUAGCUGUUGGGAGCGAUCUCAGUGGCUA
rnacentral:rRNA from 1 species